rnacentral:rRNA from 1 species
UACGUAGGGUGCGAGCGUUGUCCGGAAUUAUUGGGCGUAAAGGGCUCGUAGGCGGUCUGUUGCGUCGACUGUGAAAACCCGCGGCUUAACUGCGGGCUUGCAGUUGAUACGGGCAGGCUAGAGUUCGGUAGGGGAGACUGGAAUUCCUGGUGUAGCGGUGAAAUGCGCAGAUAUCAGGAGGAACACCGGUGGCGAAGGCGGGUCUCUGGGCCGAUACUGACGCUGAGGAGCGAAAGCGUGGGGAGCGAACGGG